CAACUACUCCCUCUAUCCCAAAUUUCUUGUCUUAGAUUUGUCUAGAUACGGAUGUAUCUAAUACUAAAAUGUGACUUGAUACAUCCGUAUCUAGACAAAUCUAAGACAAGAAUUUUGGGACGGAGGGAGUACUUU
rfam:Triticum aestivum genome assembly, contig: Triticum_aestivum_CS42_TGACv1_scaffold_129678_2BL